GGCUGGUCGGUUAGCUCAGUUGGUUAGUUAGAGCAUGGUGCUAACACCACCAAGGUCAAGGGUUCAGAUCCCCUUACCAGCCA